GUAGCGGAGCAUGUGGUUUAAUUCGAAGCAACGCGAAGAACCUUACCUAAGCUUGACAUCCUUCUGACCUCUCCCUAAUCGGAGAUUUCCCUUCGGGGACAGAAGUGACAGGUGGUGCAUGGUUGUCGUCAGCUCGUGUCGUGAGAUGUUGGGUUAAGUCCCGCAACGAGCGCAACCCUUGCCUUUAGUUGCCAGCAUUAAGUUGGGCACUCUAGAGGGACUGCCAGGGAUAACCUGGAGGAAGGUGGGGAUGACGUCAAAUCAUCAUGCCCCUUAUGCUUAGGGCUACACACGUGCUACAAUGGGUGGUACAGAGGGCAGCCAAGUCGUGAGGCGGAGCUAAUCCCUUAAAGCCAUUCUCAGUUCGGAUUGUAGGCUGAAACUCGCCUACAUGAAGCUGGAGUUACUAGUAAUCGCAGAUCAGAAUGCUGCGGUGAAUGCGUUCCCGGGUCUUGUACACACCGCCCGUCACACCACGGAAGUUGGGGGCGCCCGAAGCCGGAUUGCUAACCUUUUGGAAGCGUCCGUCGAAGGUGAAAUC
rnacentral:rRNA from 1 species